rnacentral:rRNA from 1 species
UACAGAGGGGGGCAAGCGUUGUUCGGAAUUACUGGGCGUAAAGGGCGCGUAGGCGGCCUGCUAAGUCGAACGUGAAAUCCCUGGGCUCAACCCAGGAACUGCGUCCGAUACUGGUUGGCUUGAAUCCGGGAGAGGGAUGUGGAAUUCCAGGUGUAGCGGUGAAAUGCGUAGAUAUCUGGAGGAAUACCGGUGGCGAAGGCGGCAUCCUGGACCGGCAUUGACGCUGAUGAGCGAAAGCUAGGGGAGCAAACGGGG